GGAGAGAUGUCCGAGAGGCUGAAGGAGCACGCUUGGAAAGCGUGUGUAGCGAUUUAGCUACCGCGGGUUCGAAUCCCGCUCUCUCCGCGA
rnacentral:tRNA from 1 species